rnacentral:tRNA from 2 species
GAUAAGGUGGCUGAAUUUUAGGUUGUAAAUUGUAAAUUUGCUUAUGAGUAAUACUCCCUUGUCA